rnacentral:rRNA from 1 species
CCUACGGGCGGCAGCAGUGAGGAAUAUUGGUCAAUGGGCGCAAGCCUGAACCAGCCAAGUAGCGUGCAGGAUGACUGCCCUACGGGUUGUAAACUGCUUUUAUAUGGGAAUAAAGUGCCGUACGUGUACGGCUUUGCAUGUACCGUAUGAAUAAGGAUCGGCUAAUUCCGUGCCAGCAGCCGCGGUAAUACGGAGGGUCCGGGCGUUAUCCGGAUUUAUUGGGUUUAAAGGGAGCGUAGGCGGCUUGUCAAGCCUGUUGUGAAAGUUUGCGGCUCAACCGUAGAAUUGCAGCGGGUACUGGCAUCCUUGAGUCCGCUGAAGGCAGGCGGAAUUCGUGGUGUAGCGGUGAAAUGCUUAGAUAUCACGAAGAACCCCGAUUGCGAAGGCAGCUUGCUACAGUGUAACUGACGCUGAUGCUCGAAAGUGCGGGUAUCAAACAGGAUUAGAUACCCGAGUAGUC